rnacentral:lncRNA from 1 species
UUUCAUGUCUCAGGCUACUCUACCAGUGGUCCAGGCACGUUGGAAGACACUCUGGCAGGGGGGAAGAUACUCUAGGCUGAUUGAAAAGUGGAUGACUUGACUCUUCUGUAAUGACUACGUUGAGAACAGAAUGGCUUCAGGGAAUACAUUCAGCCAAUCCCCCAAGAACACUGCCCUGGGGUGAAACAAAUACCUUUGCGGUUUAACUCAGGAGGAAUGAGUGCUUCACCAGGUGUUUGGGAGAAAUCUACCCGUGGCCACGGAGGAUUGGAUCCCCUAGAGCCAUGGAGAGUUGGCAGCAAAAUUUUGCCACAGCUUUUUAUCAGGUCUGGUUGAGAGAAAGAGAGAGAGAGAGAAAUCCCCAGAAGGGACAUGUAAAUCAUGUGUGAAGUUGACUGAAGAUCAUUUUUGACAUCACUUGCCAUAUUACACUGUCUGUGGCUGUUCCCCUUCUCUACAAGGUAAGAGAUUUAUUUUGAUUUGUCUACUCACAGAAAAAAAAAAGACAUAUGAUGAUGGGG